UUUUCUUCCUUUUUAUAACUUUUAAUUGCUUUUCCUUCCUUAAGCUUCCUGAAAUUUUGUGAUAAACUACGUUUUGGAUCAGAAUCUGUUAGGUAGCUUUCUUAUUUAUAGUAUAAAAUAGUGUUCUGUAAUAAACAAAUAAUACAUUGUUUGUUCAUUCCUAAAAAUAGUAUAUAAAACUAAGUGUAGACCACAGUAAGACAUUCAACUUUUACAUAUAAACUGUUUUCUAUUAAAGAAAUAAUGAAUAAUAGAAAUAUGAUCUUGGUUAAGCAACAACAGGAAUUCUUUAAUGUGUCAGCACAUCACAUAUCAAGUUAUUUUUAUCAGAUUUUCUUCUGUUUAUAAGUUUCUAGAAACUGAAAAAUCAGAAAACCAGCUGGCAAGAGGAAAGCAUUAUACUAGCAGAUGCAAAUAAAUUAAUAGAACAGAAUUGAGGAGUUAAAAGAUAAAUCUACCAGAAGCAACUUCUGAGAGGAGUCAACGGGAAAGAUCUUUAUAGUAUAGAGGUAUCACUUACGCAGUAUCUAUUAGUAACAAACCAUCUGAUAUCUUAUUCCUCUUUCCUUCUGACUCAUUCACUUAUCUAUGAUUUACCAUCUAAUUUUUAAACUUGAUUUGAUAUAAAAGUAAGCAAAGCCAUUGUGCCUGUCUGGUUUGCCUUGUUUACUGUCUCUUUCUGAAAUUAUUAGCACUUGGCUUGUUCUCAGCAGUUACUGAGGUUUGAAUGUGUCACCCAAAAUUCAUGCGUUGAAAACAAUCCCCAACGCAACGAUGUUGAGAGUAUCUUUAGGAGCUGAUUAGAUCAUGAGGGCUCUGUCCUUAUGAAUGGAUUAAUGCCUUUGUCUUGUAAUUGGGUCCCUGAUAAAAGGAUAAGUUUGGACCUUUUCCCUUCCUUCUGUCUUGUUCUUCAUGUUUCAACUUGGACUUCCUAACUUCCAGAACUGUGAGCCAAAUAAAGGUCUGUUUAUAAAUUACCUAGAGUGUGGUAUUCUGUUACAACAGCACAAAAUGAACUAAGACAAUAGUGUUGACCACUCUCACCUAUCCUAAGUUCUGCCUCAGGCUGUCCUGUAGAGCAUUUACUACAUAAGGCAUAUGUAGCACUCACUGCACCAGC
rnacentral:lncRNA from 1 species